rnacentral:misc_RNA from 1 species
GUAGGAGUCCCAGCACCAGCAUUAGCAACAGUACUAGCAUUGGCAGCACCAGCACCAGAGUUACCAGGAAUGGCAGCAUGCCCCUGGCCUUGGGGAACACCAUAGCUAUCUUCAUACAUAUUUUGUCCGACAGGCCGACCAGAAGCCUCCUUCUCAUUGUUCCCAGAGGCACCACCAUAAGGCCCACCAGCAACAGUUCUUAUAUCAACAUUUGCUCUGUUAGUAAGUUCUAAACGAAGCUUUUCC